AUUGAACGCUGGCGGCAGGCCUAACACAUGCAAGUCGAGCGGAGCGACGGACGGGUGAGUAAGGCCUAGGAAUCUGCCUGGUCGUGGGGGAUAACGUCCGGAAACGGGCGCUAAUACCGCAUACUAUCAGAUGAGCCUAGGGGGGUUUAGCUCGUUGGUGGGGUAAAGGGCUACCAAGGAGACGAUCCGUAACUGGUCUGAGAGGAUGAUCAGUCACACUGUAACUGAGACACGGUCCAGACGCCUACGGGAGGCAGCAGUGGGGAAUAUUGGACAAUGGGCGAAAGCCUGAUGCAGCCAUGCGGCGUGUGUGAAGAAGGUCUUCGGAUUGUAAAGCACUUUAAGUUGGGAGGCGUUACCAACAGAAUAAGCACCGGCUAACUCCGUGCCAGCAGCCGCGGUAAUAC
rnacentral:rRNA from 1 species